rnacentral:lncRNA from 1 species
AUUUGAGACAAGAUGACCUGGGCCUAAAUAUAAACCCUCUUGUCCAAUAAAGUAAACACAGUGAGUUUGGUAUUUCGUUUUUGUUUACUGCUCCUCUUAAAUAGCCAUUUCUAUUUCCAGAUGAAAAGAUGGCUAAUGAUCUAGCGGGUUCACAGUGUAGAUGGAAUCCAAUUACCUGCCGUUCGGUGCAUGAUGGCUUUUGUGUCCGCCCGCCCCGUGCACCAGGUGGUGAAAAUAGGAUGCUUACUUUGUUCCUAAGUACAAGGAUGUUUUUCCACUAAAAAACAAACAAACAAAACCUGACAAAGAGUUCUGAAACCAAGUAUUUUAUCUAAAAGAUUAUUUAUCAGAGAUUCAACAGAAUUCUAUUUUCUUUUUCUCAUUACUGAAGUUGGCAUUUUUCUGUAAUAUUAGCUGUGGUGUGUUUUCAACCUACAUUCUCUCUGUCCCCUACUAUUAGAGUUUGCCUUAAACUCAUAAUCCUGCCUGCUUUUCAGAAUGUUCAUUUUUCCAUGGCAACAGAGAUGCAAAUGAAGAAUUCUGGUGUUACUGCGGGGAAGAAGUAGAAGAGAACCUGGGUAUGACUCAUCCAAAAAUCUGUUAUUCAAGAAUAAAUAUCUGCAGCAGUAAUAAUAGAGGGCACUGCUACUCCAACAUCAACCAUGCUGCUUCAGCUGCAGAAGGCAGAUGUAGAUCUGAUACAUCCAGGGUACCCAGAUGUAUGAAGGAAAUGGAUGAAAGACCAGAGUUCCCUACCAUCAGCUCUUCUCCAGCAUUAUAAAUAUAAAAUGCCAUAUAGACUAUCAUUUGUAGUUAAUGAAGCAGGAUCUUAAAAGAGGCAGAUUUUUAAAACUCUAUUUCUACAGAAUUUCCACAAUGAAAUGAUAGAGUUGUAGCUAUUCUAUUAUUAUUAGAGAAGUAAUCCAAUCAUUGUUUAUUUAAAAAAAUUCCAUAGCAAC